rfam:Ovis aries breed Texel chromosome 3, whole genome shotgun sequence.
UCCCUGGUGGUCUAGUGGUUAAGACUCUGCCCUUCAAAUGCAGAAGGUGCAGGUUUGAUCCCUGAUCAGGGAA